rnacentral:pre_miRNA from 1 species
UCUCAUGAAUGAACAAAUAAAGUGGUUUCUUGAGCUGGAAUCUACUCCUGGUGAAGGUGUUGUAAA